rnacentral:misc_RNA from 1 species
GAAAUGCGAUAAGUAAUGUGAAUUGCAGAAUUCAGUGAAUCAUCGAAUCUUUGAACGCACAUUGCGCCCCCUGGUAUUCCGGGGGGCAGGCCUGUUCGAGCGUCAUUUCACCACUCAAGCCUCGCUUGGUAUUGGGCGACGCGGUCCGCCGCGCGCCUCAAAUCGACCGGCUGGGUCUUCUGUCCCCUCAGCGUUGUCGAAACUAUUCGCUAAAGGGUGCCACGAGAGGCCACGCCGAAAAACAAACCCAUUUCUAAGGUUGACCUCGGAUCAGGCACGGAUACCCGCUGAACUUAA